GGAUAACCUGACCUGAGGAAGGGGAUACCCCCGGGAAACUGGGGAUAAUACCCUAUAGGUUACCGAUGCUGGAAUGCUCGGUAACUCAAAGUUCCGGCGCCUCAGGAUGGAUCUGCGGCCGAUUAGGUUGUUGUUGGGGUAACGGCCCAACAAGCCGAUAAUCGGUACGGGUUGUGGGAGCAAGAGCCCGGAGUUGGAUUCUGAGACACGAAUCCAGGCCCUACGGGGCGCAGCAGGCGCGAAAACUUUACAAUGCGGGCAACCGUGAUAAGGGAACCUCGAGUGCCUGUAUAUGCAGGCUGUCCAGGUGUCUAAAACACACCUGAAGAAAGGGCCGGGCAAGACCGGUGCCAGCCGCCGCGGUAAUACCGGCGGCUCGAGUGGUGGCCACUUUUAUUGGGCUUAAAGCGUUCGUAGCUGGGUUGUUAAGUCUCUUGGGAAAUCCGGCGGCUCAACCGUCGGGCGUCUAAGAGAUACUGGCGAUCUUGGAACCGGGAGAGGUGAGGGGUACUUCGGGGGUAGGAGUGAAAUCCUGUAAUCCUCGAGGGACCACCUGUGGCGAAGGCGCCUCACCAGAACGGCUUCGACAGUGAGGGACGAAAGCUGGGGGAGCAAACCGGAUUAGAUACCCGGGUAGUCCCAGCCGUAAACGAUGUGCGUUAGGUGUAUCGAUGACCACGAGUCAUCGAGGUGCCGAAGGGAAACCGUGAAACGUACCGCCUGGGAAGUACGGUCGCAAGGCUGAAACUUAA
rnacentral:rRNA from 1 species